rnacentral:misc_RNA from 1 species
AACGCAUCUUGCGCUCCUUGGUAUUCUGAGGAGCAUGCCUGUUUGAGAGUCAUUAAACUAUCAAAACACUUUAAUUAAUUAAGUGUUUUGGACUGUGGGAGUACUUUGCUGGCCCUUUUUGAGUUCAGCUCUCCUCAAAAGCAAAUUUAGCUCAGAAGGUGUGGACCAUUAGUGUGAUAACUUGUUUACACUGUGCUUUCCCCCUUUUGUUGAAUACUAUUUAUUAAUGUCCCUUUGACCUCAAAUCAGGUAGGACUACCCGCUGAACUUAA